AAAAAAAAAAAUAACUCUUUUAAAGUAGUUUUCCCUAACGGAAAGUUAUAUAGUUUUCGAAUGUUAUUCAUUUUUCUUUCAAUGAUGUUUAUUGACCGAUAUGUAUGGUCUUUGAAAAAUCAGAUUUUCAAAAAAAUAAUAAUAAUAUCGCAUUAUGAAAUUAACCUCCAAACCAGCUACCGUAUAAGAUAACCGUACAUACAGAUGUAGUAAUCUAAAUAAUCUUAUCACAAUAUUUCUAAGUUUCUGGAUAGAUACGUAUAUAACAUUUAAUUUAUACAAUUCUUAAUAUUCGUAAUAUAUUAAUUAUGUAUCAUUAAACUAUACUACUAUAAACUUUCAUAUUCACAAACAAAUUAAAUCCACUCAAUUUAAAAUCCAACUCGUGAAUAGAGCAAAACUUAAUAAAAUCAUUUUUAUGUAACGUCUAUAUUUAUCAAACUUUAUUUUGUCAUUUUUUCAUGUUAUCAUUAGAAUAAGUUCGGAAGAAACGUUUUGAUACGAUUCUAAAAAUAAUAUCAUGGGUAAAACAAAAUUGUACUCUCAAUUAUUUUUUAAAAAAUGUCCAUGAGUUUUAUUUCACACAUUAGUGUGAUUACUUCUUUAUUUAACGUUUUAAUAAACUAGAUUAAAAACAACUGUCAAUUUUUUUUUUCUUAAACAAUUUAUCUACCGAUAAGACGUGGGGUGUUUUCUCCCUAUAAAAAAAAAGAGCGUUAUCCAGUGUUUUUAAAAAUUAUUUAUGGCAGAGUUUGCAAUAUAAUAUAUUUAAUGUUUCACCCAGAUAAUAUUUUUUUGACUUUCUAGACAAUUUUCUGGAUAAAAUGGCGUAUUUGACAUAAAUCCUAGAGCAAUAGAUUAUGAAAUAUGAUUGAAUAUCGCAUUUUUUUAAAUCCAUAAGCUACAGAACAAUAUCGAAAAUAUGAAUGUUGUGAUUAACCAAUAUAACCAAUGUGAAAUUUUAAACGACUGAAAAAUGUUUUAUUAUUAUUAUUAUUUUGGUAAGUUUCAAUAAUUUAUUUUACUCAUUUUCGGUGAUAACCGACUUAAUUUUUUAUUCAUCACCUAUAUAUAUAUAUAUAUAUACAUAAAUAUAUAGGUACAUUAAGCAACAUAUCCAAAUAUUAUGUCAAAUUUAAUCCCAACGCGUCAUUUAAUUUAAUUGGUGUAUUCGUAUUAUGAUAUAUUACGUAAUAAUAAUAUCGUAUGUAUCGGUUCGGUUUAUAAGAAUUAAUUUACAAAAUAUAGGAACAGGGUGCGAUAAUAAUACUUAGCACUUCUUUAUACAAAUAAUAUUUUAGUUCACGUUGUUUUUAAUCAAACCGUAAUGUGAUGACCACUAUUAUAUUGUCAUGUUUUAAUUUAUUAUUAUUAUUACUUAACUAUGUUUAACGAUUAUCUAGCGUCUAUACAAUACAUAUUUUACUAUAAUAAUAUUAUCGAUCGUGUAACACAUGUGUGUAUAUCAUAUCACAAAUUAAUAUAAUAACAUUGCGACAGUAUACACCUAAGUAUAAUAAUAUUGUAUACAUUUUAAUAAUAUAAAUUGUUGUAUACAUGAUUUUUAUUACAAUUUUAUUUACCAGUAUAAUAUUUACGAGUUUAAUAGUAAAGUUGUAUUAUAACG
rnacentral:lncRNA from 1 species